rnacentral:tRNA from 1 species
UGGCUCAGAGGGUAAAGCGUCUGCCUACAAUGCAGGAGACCGGGGUUCGAUCCCUG